ACAACCUUACUUUGACAGGAUCAGUUCUAUAGGCUCGUACCUAUGUCUCCUUGAUUUCCAAAAAAAAAACGUUAAUUAUGGUGUAUCAACUAUUAUUAGGAAAAAAAAUGUCCUUUCAUAUU
rnacentral:snoRNA from 1 species